GCGGGGGUUGCCUAGUGGCUAAGGCGCUGGCCUGGAGAGCCAGUUCCCCGUUUGGGGAGCGUGGGUUCGAAUCCCACCCCCCGCGCCA
rnacentral:tRNA from 1 species